rnacentral:misc_RNA from 1 species
GAUGAAGAACGCAGCGAAAUGCGAUAAGUAAUGUGAAUUGCAGAAUUCAGUGAAUCAUCGAAUCUUUGAACGCACAUUGCGCCCGCCAGUAUUCUGGUGGGCAUGUCUGUUCGAGCGUCAUUUCAACCCUCAGGCCCCCAGUGCCUGGCGUUGGGGAUCGGCGCGGCGCCCUCCGGGGCGCUGCCGGCCCCGAAAUUCAGUGGCGGUCUCGCUGUAGCCCUCCUCCGCGUAGUAGCACAACCUCGCGGCCUGGAGCUCGGCGGUGGCCAUGCCGUAAAACACCCCACUUCUGAAAGUUGACCUCGGAUCAGGUAGGAAUACCCGCUGAACUUAAGCAUAUCAAUAAGCGGAGGA